rnacentral:snRNA from 1 species
AUACUUAGCUAGUGCCGGGGCCUCGUUGAUCACCGAGGACGAGCCCCCCAGGGCGAGGCGUGGGCAUUCCACUGCGCUUGCGUUAACCCCUUCUACGACUCCAAACUGGGGCAGAUGGGGCAUGCAAAUUAC